UAACAAGGAUUCCCCUAGUAACUGCGAGUGAAGCGGGAAAAGCUCAAAUUUAAAAUCUGGCAGUCUCUGGCUGUCCGAGUUGUAAUCUAGAGAAGUAAUGCCCGUGCUGGACCGUGUAUAAGUCUCCUGGGAUGGGGCGUCAUAGAGGGUGAGAAUCCCGUCUUUGACACGGACURCCAGUGCAUUGUGGUAUGCUCUCAAAGAGUCGAGUUGUUUGGGAAUGCAGCUCAAAAUGGGUGGUAAAUUCCAUCUAAAGCUAAAUAUUGGCGAGAGACCGAUAGCGAACAAGUACCGUGAGGGAAAGAUGAAAAGAACUUUGGAAAGAGAGUUAAACAGUACGUGAAAUUGCUGAAAGGGAAACGCUUGAAGUCAGUCGCGUUGGCCGGGGAUCAGCCUUGCUUUUGCAUGGUGUAUUUUCUGGUUGACGGGUCAGCAUCAAUUUUGACCACUGGAAAAGGCUCAAGGGAAUGUGGCAGCUUCGGCUGUGUUAUAGCCCCUGUUCACAUACAGUGGUUGGGAUUGAGGAACUCAGCACGCCGCAAGGCCGGGUUUCGACCACGUUCGUGCUUAGGAUGCUGGCAUAAUGGCUUUAAGCGACCCGUCUUGAAACACGGACCAAGGAGUCUAACAUGCCUGCGAGUAUUUGGGUGGAAAACCCAAGUGCGCAAUGAAAGUGAAAGUUGAGAUCCCUGUCGUGGGGAGCAUCGACGCCCGGACCAGAACUUUUGGGACGGAUCCGCGGUGGAGCAUGUAUGUUGGGACCCGAAAGAUGGUGAACUAUGCCUGAAUAGGGUGAAGCCAGAGGAAACUCUGGUGGAGGCUCGUAGCGAUUCUGACGUGCAAAUCGAUCGUCAAAUUUGGGUAUAGG
rnacentral:rRNA from 1 species